CACGGUAUGCAAUCUGAAAUCUAACGAAUGAGAUUAUUGUGAUGUUGCUACUCAAAGCCUUCAUUAAUUAGCACUUUCUUUGCUUUUUAUUCUUUGAUCUUAUAGAGGUGCGUCUAGUGGGGCUUCUGGCCAAGAGAAAAGGAUGGAUGAACAGACGGCGUUUGACUUGCUGGUUCAGUCCUGCCCAGUGACUCUUGACGGGCCUCCUCCGAAAAGGGCACGCAGACACGAACUGUGCGCUGAACACGAGAGGCACUGCUACGACCGCUGGCGCAGCGAGCAGCUCAAGCUGCGUGAACAGCGUGUCCUUGAAUAUUUCGGUCGGUGUCAGCUGUCUGAGUCACAAGUGGAGGCCUGGGUGGAGAAACAAGGAUGGACGUCUAACGUCCCACAGGCUUCCCUAAUACUCAAGAAAUACUCCAAGUAGCCUUGAACAGCUCCCCUGCGGCUCUGUGGGUUACAAAAAUAAAUGUGAGCGGGCUACUUCCAAGCCACAUUAUUUUUGUGCCUACUUUUCAGCCACAAAACACCACCUCUCUUGCUCUCCAAGUUGCCCUGAACGGCUCCCCUUUUUUUUUAGUAGGUUACUCAAAGAUAUGUGAGCGGGCUAAUUUCCAAGCCACAUAUCUCUUCUCCUUGCCUACUUUUUUCUCUUUAGCCACAAAAAAGUAAAAAAAGACCACCAAUACAGAUAUUUUUUUUCUUUCAAUAUUCAUAGUGGAAGUGCACCAGUCUGCUGUGACAGAAACCCCUGCUGCCCAUCAUCUGUUUGUCCUGGAGAGAGAAAGAUCACUGACUUCUCCAGCCAAGAUAAGUUCAACCAACUGUUUUAUAUGCUCCACUAAUCAUUCGAUUCACACAGACAGUCUGAGUCUAAUCUGCGAUUUCUUCUUCGUUGCAGCUACAAAUAACCAAACAUCAGCAGCUCACUCAGAAGAAGAAGAAGAAGUUUUAGCGUUCGUCCCACCUUUUAACAACUGGAGACAGUAUGUGCCAUGAUGCACAGUACACACAGGACCAUGGGGAAAUUUGACAGAGGGGGGCACACGCUGGAUCAAGCUUGCAAGACAUAUUCACAUCAACACGACGAAGUGAGAAGAGUCGCAGCUGUUUGACAGUAAAGAGAGAGACAGCUCGUUCCUCACCAACAACCACACGGACAACUGACUCCAGGCUCCCUUCCAUAAUUCCAUUUUGUAUGUCAGAUGUUGAACAUGAAAGCUAUGUGCAUUUCACAUCCAACAAACCAUCCCAUACCGGCGUGAUAAAUCCAGUCUUCAACUAGAUGGAGCUGGAUUAAAUAUUUUGACUUUUGCUAUCCCAAUCGGACUUAUGACCUGUAAUGCUGCCUGAAUCGUAAUCAUGCACUGUUCGCUGUUGGCCAGAGGAGAACUGGCCCCCCGACUGAGCCUGGUUUCUCCCAAGGUUUUUUUUCUCCAUUUUUGUCACCUGUUGGAGUUUGGGUUCCUUUCCGCUGUCGCCUUUGGCUUGCUUAGUUGGGGACACUUGACAUUUGAUAUUCAACAAUGUUUUUGAUCUGCCUGCAUUGACACCUUUUGUAUGCGAACUGAGCUGAGCUGGACGAUGACAUGACUGUUUUCUCCAGAGCUGAUAUAUAGAUAAAUUAACUAAACGAAUAACUAUUGAUUUUUACUAAAUCAAUACUGAAUUUACUUUAGCUGGACAAUGACACCAUUUUCUUCUAGAGCUGCUGUGCAGCCAAAAUUAUUUGCCAGUUAUCACUGUAAAGCUGCUUUGACACAAUCUGCACUGUAAAAAGCGCUUUAUAAAUAAAGGUGACUUGACUUGA